AGCGAACGCUGGCGGCAGCCUUAACACAAGCAAGUCGAACGCCCCGCAAGGGGAGUGGCAGACGGGUGAGUAACAAGUGGGAACGUACCCUUUGGUUCGGAAUAACUUGGGGAAACUCAAGCUAAUACCGGAUAAGCCCUUAUGGGGAAAGGUUUACUGCCGAAGGAUCGGCCCGCGUCUGAUUAGCUAGUUGGUGAGGUAAUGGCUCACCAAGGCGACGAUCAGUAGCUGGUCUGAGAGGAUGAUCAGCCACACUGGGACUGAGACACGGCCCAGACUCCUACGGGAGGCAGCAGUGGGGAAUAUUGGACAAUGGGGGCAACCCUGAUCCAGCCAUGCCGCGUGAGUGAUGAAGGCCUUAGGGUUGUAAAGCUCUUUUACCCGGGACGAUAAUGACUGUACCGGGAGAAUAAGCCCCGGCUAACUUCGUGCCAGCAGCCGCGGUAA
rnacentral:rRNA from 1 species